rnacentral:rRNA from 1 species
AAUCAACGCUGGCGGCGUGCCUAACACAUGCAAGUCGAACGCGAAAGCCCCUUCGGGGGUAAGUAGAGUGGCGUCCGGGUGAGUAACACGUAGGUAAUCUACCUUCGGGUGGGGAAUAACCAGUCGAAAGAUUGGCUAAUACCGCAUAAUGCAGCGGCACCUAAUGGUGAUUAGUUGUUAAAGCGGGGGAGUCGUAAGACCUCGCGCCUGAAGAGGAGCCUGCGGCAGAUUAGCUAGUUGGNGAGGUAAUGGCUCACCAAGGCUUCGAUCUGUAGCUGGUCUGAGAGGACGGCCAGCCACACUGGCACUGAC